rnacentral:rRNA from 1 species
GAAGCUGCGGCAGCGACGCUUAUGCGUUGUUGGGUAGGGGAGCGUUCUGUAAGCCUGCGAAGGUGGCCUGUGAGGGUUGCUGGAGGUAUCAGAAGUGCGAAUGCUGACAUAAGUAACGAUAAAGCGGGUGAAAAGCCCGCUCGCCGGAAGACCAAGGGUUCCUGUCCAACGUUAAUCGGGGCAGGGUGAGUCGACCCCUAAGGCGAGGCCGAAAGGCGUAGUCGAUGGGAAACGGGUUAAUAUUCCCGUACUUGGUGUUACUGCGAAGGGGGGACGGAGAAGGCUAUGUUGGCCGGGCGACGGUUGUCCCGGUUUAAGCGUGUAGGUGUGUGUUCCAGGUAAAUCCGGUUCACUUUAACACUGAGGCGUGACGACGAGGCACUACGGUGCUGAAGCAACAAAUGCCCUGCUUCCAGGAAAAGCCUCUAAGCAUCAGGUAACAUCAAAUCGUACCCCAAACCGACACAGGUGGUCAGGUAGAGAAUACCAAGGCGCUUGAGAGAACUCGGGUGAAGGAACUAGGCAAAAUGGUGCCGUAACUUCGGGAGAAGGCACGCUGACACGUAGGUGAAGUGAUUUACUCAUGGAGCUGAAGUCAGUCGAAGAUACCAGCUGGCUGCAACUGUUUAUUAAAAACACAGCACUGUGCAAACACGAAAGUGGACGUAUACGGUGUGACGCCUGCCCGGUGCCGGAAGGUUAAUUGAUGGGGUCAGCGCAAGCGAAGCUCCUGAUCGAAGCCCCGGUAAACGGCGGCCGUAACUAUAACGGUCCUAAGGUAGCGAAAUUCCUUGUCGGGUAAGUUCCGACCUGCACGAAUGGCGUAAUGAUGGCCAGGCUGUCUCCACCCGAGACUCAGUGAAAUUGAACUCGCUGUGAAGAUGCAGUGUACCCGCGGCAAGACGGAAAGACCCCGUGAACCUUUACUAUAGCUUGACACUGAACAUUGAGCCUUGAUGUGUAGGAUAGGUGGGAGGCUUUGAAGUGUGGACGCCAGUCUGCAUGGAGCCGACCUUGAAAUACCACCCUUUAAUGUUUGAUGUUCUAACGUGGACCCGUUACCCGGGUUGCGGACAGUGUCUGGUGGGUAGUUUGACUGGGGCGGUCUCCUCCUAAAGAGUAACGGAGGAGCACGAAGGUUGGCUAAUCCUGGUCGGACAUCAGGAGGUUAGUGCAAUGGCAUAAGCCAGCUUGACUGCGAGCGUGACGGCGCGAGCAGGUGCGAAAGCAGGUCAUAGUGAUCCGGUGGUUCUGAAUGGAAGGGCCAUCGCUCAACGGAUAAAAGGUACUCCGGGGAUAACAGGCUGAUACCGCCCAAGAGUUCAUAUCGACGGCGGUGUUUGGCACCUCGAUGUCGGCUCAUCACAUCCUGGGGCUGAAGUAGGUCCCAAGGGUAUGGCUGUUCGCCAUUUAAAGUGGUACGCGAGCUGGGUUUAGAACGUCGUGAGACAGUUCGGUCCCUAUCUGCCGUGGGCGCUGGAGAACUGAGGGGGGCUGCUCCUAGUACGAGAGGACCGGAGUGGACGCAUCACUGGUGUUCGGGUUGUCAUGCCAAUGGCACUGCCCGGUAGCUAAAUGCGGAAGAGAUAAGUGCUGAAAGCAUCUAAGCACGAAACUUGCCCCGAGAUGAGUUCUCCCUGAGACUUAAAGUCUCCUGAAGGAACGUUGAAGACGACGACGUUGAUAGGCCGGGUGUGUAAGCGCAGCGAUGCGUUGAGCUAACCGGUACUAAUGAAC